AAGAUACUAGUAAAAUAAUUACAUUACUUUGUCAAGGUAAAAUUGCAAGUUAAAACCCUGCGUAUCUUA
rnacentral:tRNA from 1 species